rnacentral:rRNA from 1 species
AACGAACGCUGGCGGCAUGCCUAACACAUGCAAGUCGAACGAGACCUUCGGGUCUAGUGGCGCACGGGUGCGUAACGCGUGGGAACCUGCCCUUAGGUUCGGAAUAACUCCCCGAAAGGGGUGCUAAUACCGGAUAAUGUCUUCGGACCAAAGAUUUAUCGCCUUUGGAUGGGCCCGCGUUGGAUUAGCUAGUUGGUAGGGUAAAAGCCUACCAAGGCGACGAUCCAUAGCUGGUCUGAGAGGAUGAUCAGCCACACUGGGACUGAGACACGGCCCAGACUCCUACGGGAGGCAGCAGUGGGGAAUAUUGGACAAUGGGCGAAAGCCUGAUCCAGCAAUGCCGCGUGAGUGAUGAAGGCCUUAGGGUGGUAAAGCACUUUUACCCGGGAUGAUAAUGACAGUACCGGGAGAAUAAGCUCCGGCUAACUCCGUG